AAGUGGAUCUCUGGAGACGAAGGUAGUCGCCGAUCCCAGACAAGCCCCCAAAUGAAAGACCCCCAGAGCGGGGAGAUUCUCACUCAAGUCUCGGGAUGCCACAACCCCCCAAGAACUUACGAGAGACC
rnacentral:pre_miRNA from 14 species